UACGUAGGGGGCAAGCGUUGUCCGGAUUUAUUGGGCGUAAAGCGCACGUAGGCGGACUCUUAAGUCGGUGGUGAAAUCCUGGAGCUCAACUCCAGAACUGCCUUCGAUACUGAGAGUCUCGAGUCCGAGAGAGGUGAGUGGAACUGCGAGUGUAGAGGUGAAAUUCGUAGAUAUUCGCAAGAACACCAGUGGCGAAGGCGGCUCACUGGCUCGGUACUGACGCUGAGGUGCGAAAGCGUGGGGAGCAAACAGG
rnacentral:rRNA from 1 species